rnacentral:tRNA from 1 species
GGAGAGGUGUCUGAGUGGUUGAAGGAGCCGCUCUCGAAAAGCGGUGUGCCCGCAAGGGUACCGGGGGUUCGAAUCCCCCCCUCUCCG